rnacentral:lncRNA from 1 species
AUGGUGUACCCCCCUUUCCUUCUCAUGAUGGCCCUAUUCAUAAUUUUUCAGUUUUCUGAAGAGGAUCUGAAGGGGACACAUCAGCCUGCAGUAUCCCUAGCAAUGAUAUUGACAACACCUGCAAUAUCUUCUCCAGCUGAUGUUAUGAUCCAUGUGGCUGAUUUAACACAAUGCCUGUCAGUUGCCCAAAUCCUCCCGGGGAAAGGCAGUUUCACGCACACCUCCUUAUGGAUCAUCCCAGCUCUUAUUUCUUUUUCCAGAUAACAGUCAUCACUGCUGCCCUGAACUACCCACACGAGACUUCUCCCCCGCGAGCCAGCUACAACUAUUUAAAAUACACUUUUAGGUGACAUCUUUGCUAUUGAGAAGGGCUCUCAAUAGAAUGCAGUAGUUUCUUCACAAGAGAAUGUUGGCCUUGAACGCACAGGACAGAACUGGGGGUUGUGCUUCAUUGUAAAUGGCGGCCGAGAUGAUCUAAUAUGGAGAUACAGUGCAUUCUUUUCUUUAGCGUCUUCCUGUUGCUAAACUAAUAAUACCCAGGGGGAGGGGAAAAUGGGAAAGAGGCUCUAUUUUCCUUCCUUGGUAAUGACUGCUUGUGACCUUGAGUGUGUUGUAGACGGACAUACGGAUGUAAACCUGAUUCAAAAAUAAAUUGUUUUUGAUUAUUUUUUUUGAAUUAGAA